rnacentral:lncRNA from 1 species
UUGCCAUCAACAUCACUUUGCUUUGCUUUAUUUACUAUAACUCAAUCACUACAACAAAGACUUGAUCAGUAUAUAACAAAGCUAAGGAAUGCAAGUAGGGAAACGCCUUGUAGAACACUCCAAUCAAUUGUAAAACAUAUGGAUGAAUUGUAAAACCGUUUGUGAACUCCACAAAAUAUGAACCUUUUUGAUGAAAACAAAGGCUCAUCCAUGCGGGGUGAAUGAGAGCGACCACUUGUCUACUUGAGCGAUCUUAAUAUAUAUAGGCUAGUGUAACCAAAGGGAAUAACUACAUCCAAAUAGCAUUGCCAGACUUAUGUCAACGUCAUACUCAGGUCGAUACAAAGGAAACUAGACUGGAUAUGCCAAGAGAAUCGCAAAUGAUUUGCUGUUACCCAACAUACGGAAGAGUCUGUGAAGACGAGACAACCACAAGAGGAAGGAUUCUAAUCAGAUCAACUGACGCUGACCUCGACCAGUGGAUUCAAAACCCUGUGCCAAUCGAUGACCUAUAUUCUAACGUGCGUAACCACUGAGCAAUAAAAAACUUAUUACACAACUCAAAUACACAGUUCCAGUUCUCACUUCAUUGCAUACCCCUUGCUGGAGAUACAAGCAACUGCAGACAAAUGUGGGUGCCUGUCGCUAGCGGAUG